rnacentral:rRNA from 1 species
GACGAACGCUGGCGGCGCGCUUAACACAUGCAAGUCGAGCGAGAACCCAGGCUUCGGCCUGGGGGAAAGCGGCGAACGGGUGAGUAACACGUGGGUAAUCUGCCCUCGGCAUCGGGAUAGCCCGGGGAAACCCGGAUUAAUACCGGAUGGCCCGACAGCUCUUCGGAGCGGUCGGAAAAGGUAGCUUCGGCCUCCGGCCGAGGAGGAGCCCGCGGCGGAUUAGCUCGUUGGUGGGGUAACGGCUCACCAAGGCUCCGAUCCGUAGCUGGUCUGAGAGGACGAUCAGCCACACUGGGACUGAGACACGGCCCAGACUCCUACGGGAGGCAGCGGUGGGGAAUCUUGCGCAAUGGGCGAAAGCCUGACGCAGCGACGCCGCGUGAGGGAAGAAGGCCUUCGGGUUGUAAACCUCUUUCAGGAGGGACGAAGCCACUCGGGUUAAUAGCCCAGAGGGUGACGGUACCUCCAGAAGAAGCCCCGGCUAACUACGUGCCAGCCGCCGCCGUAA